rnacentral:rRNA from 1 species
AACGAACGCUGGCGGCAGGCUUAAUACAUGCAAGUCGAACGCCCCCUUCGGGGGGAGUGGCAGACGGGUGAGUAACGCGUGGGAACGUGCCCAAAGGUAGGGAACAACUCCGGGAAACUGGAGCUAAUACCCUAUGUGCCCGAGAGGGGAAAGAUUUAUCGCCUUUGGAUCGGCCCGCGUUGGAUUAGCUAGUUGGUGGGGUAAAAGCCUACCAAGGCGACGAUCCAUAGCUGUUCUGAGAGGAAGAUCAGCCACACUGGGACUGAGACACGGCCCAGACUCCGACGGGAGGCAGCAGUAGGGAAUCUUGGACAAUGGGCGCAAGCCUGAUCCAGCCAUGCCGCGUGAGUGAUGAAGGCCUUAGGGUUGUAAAACUCUUUCGCAGGUGACGAUAAUGACGGUAACCUGAGAAGAAGCCCCGGCUAACUACGUGCCAGCAGCCGCGGUAA